CCUACGGGUGGCUGCAGUGGGGAAUAUUGGACAAUGGGGGCAACCCUGAUCCAGCCAUGCCGCGUGUGUGAAGAAGGCCCUCGGGUUGUAAAGCACUUUCAGUGAGGAAGAACGCCUGGUGGUUAAUACCCAUCAGGAAAGACAUCACUCACAGAAGAAGCACUGGCUAACUCCGUGCCAGCAGCCGCGGUAAUACGGAGGGUGCGAGCGUUAAUCGGAAUUACUGGGCGUAAAGCGCGCGUAGGUGGCUUGAUAAGCCGGUUGUGAAAGCCCCGGGCUCAACCUGGGAACGGCAUCCGGAACUGUCAAGCUAGAGUGCAGGAGAGGAAGGUAGAAUUCCCGGUGUAGCGGUGAAAUGCGUAGAGAUCGGGAGGAAUACCAGUGGCGAAGGCGGCCUUCUGGACUGACACUGACACUGAGGUGCGAAAGCGUGGGUAGCAAACAGGAUUAGAUACCCUUGUAGUC
rnacentral:rRNA from 1 species